GCCAAAGGGGAUGAAAGGGAAGGAGUUGUAAAUAACAGUAACAUGCAAGGGUAAUUGGCUCUAAUUAUAUUAUAGUGCUGUGGAAAUGUUUUCACACAUAAACAAUUACAUAAAACAAUAAAUAAAUAAGUAAAUCAAGUAGAGAGUGGGUUGAAUAACCGGUAGAUGACUUAUUGCAUGUAGUCAUAUAUUUCUCAUUUUGAUAGCUAACAUACAGAAUUCGAUUUUGUU
rnacentral:misc_RNA from 1 species